rnacentral:rRNA from 1 species
GGCUGUGUCGACAGCGGCGGGGAAAUACCGGAACCCAUUCCGAACUCCGAAGUCAAGCCCGCCUGCGGCGAUGGUACUGCACUUUUAAGUGUGGAAGAGUAGCACGAUGCAGCCU